UACGAAGGGGGCAAGCGUUGUUCGGAAUUACUGGGCGUAAAGAGCGUGUAGGCGGCCAGGUAGGUCUGCUGUGAAAACUCGAGGCUCAACCUCGAGACGUCGGCGGAAACCAUCUGGCUAGAGUCCGGAAGAGGAGAGUGGAAUUCCUGGUGUAGCGGUGAAAUGCGCAGAUAUCAGGAAGAACACCCGUGGCGAAGGCGGCUCUCUGGGACGGUACUGACGCUGAGACGCGAAAGCGUGGGGAGCGAACAGG
rnacentral:rRNA from 1 species